rnacentral:rRNA from 1 species
UACAGAGGUCUCAAGCGUUGUUCGGAAUUACUGGGCGUAAAGGGCGCGUAGGCGGCCACCUAAGUCAGACGUGAAAUCCCUCGGCUCAACCGGGGAACUGCGUCUGAUACUGGGUGGCUUGAAUUCGGGAGAGGAAUGCGGAAUUCCAGGUGUAGCGGUGAAAUGCGUAGAUAUCUGGAGGAACACCGGUGGCGAAGGCGGCAUCCUGGACCGGCAUUGACGCUGAGGCGCGAAAGCUAGGGGAGCAAACGGG